rnacentral:rRNA from 1 species
UACGGAGGGGGCUAGCGUUGUUCGGAAUUACUGGGCGUAAAGCGCACGUAGGCGGCUUUGUAAGUUAGAGGUGAAAGCCCGGAGCUCAACUCCGGAACUGCCUUUAAGACUGCAUCGCUUGAACGUCGGAGAGGUAAGUGGAAUUCCGAGUGUAGAGGUGAAAUUCGUAGAUAUUCGGAAGAACACCAGUGGCGAAGGCGACUUACUGGACGACUGUUGACGCUGAGGUGCGAAAGGCGUGGGGAGCAAACAGG